rnacentral:rRNA from 1 species
UACGGAGGAUCCGAGCGUUAUCCGGAUUUAUUGGGUUUAAAGGGUGCGCAGGCGGGAGAUUAAGUCGGCGGUGAAAUUUUGCAGCUCAACUGUAAAAGUGCCUUCGAAACUGGUUUCCUUGAGUGUGGAUGAAGUAGGCGGAAUUUGUGGUGUAGCGGUGAAAUGCUUAGAUAUCACGAGGAACUCCGAUUGCGCAGGCAGCUUACUAAACCACUACUGACGCUCAGGCACGAAGGCGUGGGGAUCAGACAGGAUUAGAUACCCUGGUA